GACCUCAAAGAAAAGAUAAUGCUUAAAAAGCGCGCCCCACUGUGCUUUAUUCAACUCUAUCUCCUCACAAAUCUUGUUACCAAACUGAAAUUGGUCCAUCAUUACUCGAAGAGUACUUGGGGAAACAUUGUAGCUAGAGUUCAUGCAAGGGUAAGCAGGAGUAAUAAUUGGCAUAUGAUGGGUUCGGUCUUUUGGAUUCUUGCGAGGAUCCCAAACAAGAAAACCCAGCUCGUCCUCUUCUAUUGGGCAUAGCAUCACUGGAUUUGGCCAACGCCAUUGUGUAUAAACUCUGAAGAACCUAGAAACAAGCAUACUGGGGAGUGCAUUAGGAUAAAAUUGGCAAAUGCGAGCAACCAAUAGAGCCCAAUUCACACCGCCAAGGAAUCCGGUAACAUUGGAAUAAACACCGCGCCUUUUUGCCCAAAACUUUAGACAUCUAAGAGUUGUGCGGAAGUGCUCAGCAUUAGGAACUAGUUUUAAUAUUUGGUCAGCAACCCGGCACCCAUUGAGACUUCGAACAGUUGGUUCAUCCACAUUGUGGAGUACAGAUUGAUCUGAGAUAUCUAAAUCUUCAGGGACAACUAAGAGAGAUAUACUUGCAUAAAGGAGAUCAAUAGAUAUUCCUUGAAAUUUGAAUUUCAUAACUGGGACAUGAGCAUCAGGAACUGGUUGGAGUUCACUGACUUCUUCCUUUUCAGCCAAAAUAUCAUGCAGAAUGAUAAAAAAAUCCUCAUCACGAUUGACAUAAGAGGGACCAACACACAAGGUAUCUAUGUCAGCUCCAGGUCCAUGAACUCCUAACCGAUAAGAACCAAAAGUGAAUAUCAUAGCAUUUGCAUCCUCCACCAUUUGAUCAGUGUAGCCUCUCUGGUGAGUCAACUGUUUCACCCAUGAUUUUACAAUCUGAUCAAUCUGAUGCAGCACCUCUUCUCUCCUUGCUGUCUCUUCCUCACUCUCAUACAACUCUGAUUCCUUCAAAAAAUUUUCUAAUGCUUCAUUUCUUUGAAGAUCUGCCUCGGUGGGCCCAGCAAGAGACAAAGGCUUCGUAACUCCCUGCUUCUUCGGGGGUGGCGCGGCCUCUGCCGCCGCCGCCACCACCGGCGGCGGCGUUAAGCUCUCGGAACCCAUCAUGAAUUACCAAGAAAAUGAGCAAAUUACAAAAUAAAGAAAAAAACCCCAAAAUCAAAA
rnacentral:misc_RNA from 1 species